rnacentral:rRNA from 1 species
UACGUAGGGGGCAAGCGUUGUCCGGAUUUAUUGGGCGUAAAGAGCGUGUAGGCGGCUUUGCAGGUCCGCUGUGAAAACUCCAGGCUCAACCUGGAGCCGCCAUUCGAUACUGCUAUGGCUAGAGUCCGGUAGGGGAGUGUGGAAUUCCCGGUGUAGCGGUGAAAUGCGCAGAUAUCGGGAGGAACACCGAUGGCGAAGGCAGCACUCUGGGCCGGCACUGACGCUGAGGAGCGAAAGCGUGGGGAGCGAACAGG